rnacentral:rRNA from 1 species
CAGCAGCCACGGUAAUACGAAGGGUGCAAGCGUUAUUCGGAUUGAUUGGGUGUAAAGGGUGUGCAGACGGCUUAUUAAGUCACUUGUUAAAUUCUUCGGCCUAACUGAAGGUCUGCAAGUGAUACUGAUGAGCUAGAGGGUGGAAGAGAGAAGUGGAAUUCUCGGAGUAGCGGUAAAAUGCGUAGAUCUCGAGAGGAACACCAAUGGCGAAGGCAGCUUCUUGGUCCAUUCCUGACGUUCAUACACGAAAGCGUGGGGAGCAAACAGGAUUAGAUACCCCAGUAGUCCCUGUCUCUUAUAC